rnacentral:rRNA from 1 species
GACGAACGCUGGCGGCGUGCUUAACACAUGCAAGUCGAACGGUGAACUCGGAGCUUGCUCUGAGGGAUCAGUGGCGAACGGGUGAGUAACACGUGAGUAACCUGCCCCAGACUCUGGAAUAAGCGCUGGAAACGGCGUCUAAUACCGGAUACGAGACAGAGAGGCAUCUCUACUGUCUGGAAAGUUUUUCGGUCUGGGAUGGACUCGCGGCCUAUCAGCUUGUUGGUGAGGUAACGGCUCACCAAGGCGACGACGGGUAGCCGGCCUGAGAGGGCGAUCGGCCACACUGGGACUGAGACACGGCCCAGACUCCUACGGGAGGCAGCAGUGGGGAAUAUUGCACAAUGGGCGAAAGCCUGAUGCAGCGACGCCGCGUGAGGGAUGACGGCCUUCGGGUUGUAAACCUCUUUCAGCAGGGAAGAAGCGAAAGUGACGGUACCUGCAGAAGAAGCACCGGCUAACUACGUGCCAGCAGCCGCGGUAAAA